rnacentral:rRNA from 1 species
GAUCUGCCCUGCACUUUGGGAUAAGCCUGGGAAUUUGUUGUCUAAUACCGGAUAGGACUACGGCCUGCAUGGGUUGUGGUGGAAAGCUUUUGCGGUGUGGGAUGGGCCCGCGGCCUAUCAGCUUGUUGGUGGGGUGAUGGCCUACCAAGGCGACGACGGGUAGCCGGCCUGAGAGGGUGUCCGGCCACACUGGGACUGAGAUACGGCCCAGACUCCUUCGGGAGGCAGCAGUGGGGAAUAUUGCACAAUGGGCGCAAGCCUGAUGCAGCGACGCCGCGUGGGGGAUGACGGCCUUCGGGUUGUAAACCUCUUUCAGUAUCGGCGAAGCUCCCGGCUUUUGUUGGGGGUGACGGUAGGUACAGAAGAAGCACCGGCCAACUACGUGCCAGCAGCCGCGGUAAUACGUAGGGUGCGAGCGUUGUCCGGAAUUACUGGGCGUAAAGAGCUCGUAGGUGGUUUGUCGCGUUGUUCGUGAAAACUCACAGCUUAACUGUGGGCGUGCGGGCGAUACGGGCAGACUGGAGUACUGUAGGGGAGACUGGAAUUCCUGGUGUAGCGGUGGAAUGCGCAGAUAUCAGGAGGAACACCGGUGGCGAAGGCGGGUCUCUGGGCCGAUACUGACGCUGAGGAGCGAAAGCGUGGGGAGCGAACAGGAUUAGAUACCCUGGUAGUCCACGCCGCAAACGUUUGGGCGCUAGGUGUGGGGGUUCUUCCACGACCUCCGUUGCCCGCAGCUAACGCAUUAAGCGUCCCCGUCUGGGGAGUACGACCGCAAGGGUUGAAUACUUUAAAUGAAU